GUCUAUGGCCAUACCAUUUUGAAUGCGCCCGAUCUCGUCUGAUCUCAGAAGCUAAGCAGGGUCGAGCCUGGUUAGUACUUGGAUGGGAGACCACCUGGGAAUACCGGGUGCUGUAGGCU
rnacentral:rRNA from 1 species